UACAGAGGGGGCAAGCGUUGUUCGGAAUUACUGGGCGUAAAGGGCGCGUAGGCGGCCUUCUAAGUCGAACGUGAAAUCCCCGGGCUCAACCCGGGAACUGCGUCCGAUACUGGAAGGCUUGAAUCCGGGAGAGGGAUGUGGAAUUCCAGGUGUAGCGGUGAAAUGCGUAGAUAUCUGGAGGAACACCGGUGGUGAAGGCGGCAUCCUGGACCAAUUCUGACGCUGAGGAGCGAAAGCCAGGGGAGCAAACGGG
rnacentral:rRNA from 1 species